UGGGGAAUAUUGGACAAUGGGCGAAAGCCUGAUCCAGCCAUGCCGCGUGUGUGAAGAAGGCCUUUUGGUUGUAAAGCACUUUAAGUGGGGAGGAAAAGCUUAUGGUUAAUACCCAUAAGCCCUGACGUUACCCACAGAAUAAGCACCGGCUAACUCUGUGCCAGCAGCCGCGGUAAUACAGAGGGUGCAAGCGUUAAUCGGAAUUACUGGGCGUAAAGCGCGCGUAGGUGGUUAUUUAAGUCAGAUGUGAAAGCCCCGGGCUUAACCUGGGAACUGCAUCUGAUACUGGAUAACUAGAGUAGGUGAGAGGGGAGUAGAAUUCCAGGUGUAGCGGUGAAAUGCGUAGAGAUCUGGAGGAAUACCGAUGGCGAAGGCAGCUCCCUGGCAUCAUACUGACACUGAGGUGCGAAAGCGUGGGUAGCAAACAGGAUUAGAUACCCUGGUAGUCCACGCCGUAAACGAUGUCUACCAGUCGUUGGGUCUUUUAAAGACUUAGUGACGCAGUUAACGCGAUAAGUAGACCGCCUGGGGAGUACGGCCGCAAGGUUA
rnacentral:rRNA from 1 species